AACUUUGCGCAGUGGCAGUAUCAUAGCCAAUGAGGUUUAUCCGAGGCACGAUUAUUGCUAAUUGAAACUAAACUCUAAGGGAAUCUAACAUAACCACGUUUCUACACAGAAUGGAUUUCUUAAACUGGAACCUUAGACUGUUCUGUUCCUGGGUUGUUGAAGGUUAUUCAGAGUGAUAAUAAUAAUAGUUAAACUACAUUAAGUUGU
rnacentral:snRNA from 1 species